rnacentral:rRNA from 1 species
ACGCUGGCUACAGGCUUAACACAUGCAAGUCGAGGGGAAACGGCGUUGAGUGCUCGCACUCUUCGGACGUCGACCGGCGCACGGGUGAGUAACGCGUAUCCAACCUUCCCGUCACUGCGGGAUAACCUGCCGAAAGGCAGACUAAUACCGCAUGGCCUUCACUGACGGCAUCAGAGGUGAAGUAAAGCUUUUUAGCGGUGACGGACGGGGAUGCGUCUGAUUAGCUGGUUGGCGGGGCGACGGCCCACCAAGGCGACGAUCAGUAGGGGUUCUGAGAGGAAGGUCCCCCACAUUGGAACUGAGACACGGUCCAAACUCCUACGGGAGGCAGCAGUGAGGAAUAUUGGUCAAUGGGCGGAAGCCUGAACCAGCCAAGUAGCGUGCAGGAGGACGGCCCUACGGGUUGUAAACUGCUUUUAUGCGGGGAUAAAGUGAGGGACGCGUCCCUUUUUGCAGGUACCGCAUGAAUAAGGACCGGCUAAUUCCGUGCCAGCAGCCGCGGUAAUACGGAAGGUCCGGGCGUUAUCCGGAUUUAUUGGGUUUAAAGGGAGCGUAGGCCGGGGAUUAAGUGUGUUGUGAAAUGUAGGCGCUCAACGUCUGAUGUGCAGCGCAUACUGGUCCCCUUGAGUACGCGCAACGCCGGCGGAAUUCGUCGUGUAGCGGUGAAAUGCUCAGAUAUGACGAAGAACCCCGAUUGCGAAGGCAGCCGGCGGGAGCGCAACUGACGCUGAAGCUCGAAGGUGCGGGUAUCGAACAGGAUUAGAUACCCUGGUAGUCCGCACGGUAAACGAUGGAUGCCCGCUCUCGGCGCCUGGCGCCGGGGGCCAAGCGAAAGCGUUAAGCAUCCCACCUGGGGAGUACGCCGGCAACGGUGAAACUCAAAGGAAUUGACGGGGGCCCGCACAAGCGG